AUUAAAUAGGAACAAAAUGAAUGAUAAAAACAGACAAAUAGAAGAUGAGAUACAAAUAUAAAAGGCUGUCUCUUCGCUCCCUCUCUCCCUCCCCCUCCACCAUUUGAACAAUCUAACCUACUUUUUAGGUUUACAACAAAGAUGGUUUUCGAGAGAUUGAAGGUGUCACUGAAGAUAAGAUUUAGGUCUCUGAAGAUAUGGAAACCGAAUGAUGAUUCAUACAACAAGAUUGAAAAGAGUGAUAGCAUGAGGGUUGAGAUACGAAGCAGGAAAGCACGUAAACUUAUUGAAGAAACUCUUAGAGUCGCUGAUUCUCCCAAGUGUACUAAAGCCUACUCUUUCUAAACUAUUAGUAGUAAUUAAUAUUAGAAGUAACAAUAAUUUCAAUUAUUCCAUACUUGUGUUUCUGUAUAGAUGUUUAGUUACUGGAGGUGUUAUCGAGUUCUUGAACCAAACACCAACCUUUAAAAUAAACUAAAGUUCGUUUUGUGUGAUUUGCAUGUGGAUUUUUCAUGUUAAAUAUGUCAGAUGUCAUGAUUAUUUUAUAAAUCAUGGGAGAUUUAUAGUGUGUUA